GGAAGGAUCAUUACCGAGUUAGGGUCUUUGUGGCCCGACCUCCAACCCCCCUGUGUACUGCUCAGUGUGUUUCUGUUGCUUUGGUGGACUAUAAAAUGCCCACCAAAGCCCCAACAAAAAAAAGUCUUUAGUUUUUCUAAAUGGGUGUUGUCUGAGUUUAUCAAAAAAGAAAUAAUUAAAACUUUCAACAACGGAUCUCUUGGUUCCCGCAUCGAUGAAGAACGCAGCGAAAUGCGAUAAGUAAUGUGAAUUGCAGAAUUCAGUGAAUCAUCGAAUCUUUGAACGCACAUUGCGCCCCUUGGUAUUCCGAGGGGCAUGCCUGUUCGAGCGUCAUGAUCACAUCUCAAGCCUCUAUUUUUGUGCUUGGUAUUGGGUUUUCGUCUAAUGUAUUCUUUGCUUUUCCUUUCCCCUCCUCUUUCUUGUAGAUGGAAAGAGGGGGGGGGGUUUUGCGGGGGGUUUUUUGACGUGCCUGAAAGUCAGUGGCGGUGCCUCAAUGGACUCAAGCGUAGCAGACUGACUCUCGCUUUUAGAGGACUUUGUUUGGUACUUGUUUAACCAAAACAAAAAAAAAAAAAUCGAUUUUAGACCUCGGAUCAGGUAGGGAUACCCGCUGAACUUAAGCAUAUCAAUAAGCGGAGGAAAAGAAACCAACAGGGAUUGCCUCAGUAACGGCGAGUGAAGCGGCAACAGCUCAAAUUUGAAAUCUGGUUCCCUUUAAGGGGGGCCCGAGUUGUAAUUUGUAGAGGAUGCCUUCGAGUUUGGCCCUGGCCUAAGUUCCUUGGAACAGGACGUCACAGAGGGUGAGAAUCCCGUAUGUGGCUGGGAGGCCUAUACUCAUGUGAAGCUCCCUCGACGAGUCGAGUUGUUUGGGAAUGCAGCUCAAAAUGGGUGGUAAGUUUCAUCUAAAGCUAAAUACAGGCGGGAGACCGAUAGCGCACAAGUAGAGUGAUCGAAAGAUGAAAAGCACUUUGGAAAGAGAGUUAAAAAGUACGUGAAAUUGUUGAAAGGGAAGCGCUUGCGAUCAGACUUGCCCUUUAGUUGAUCAACUGGUGUUUUUCACCAGUGCACUCAGCUAAGGUCAGGCCAGCAUCGGUUUGGGCGGUUGGACAAAGAUCAUGGGAAUGUGGCUCUCUCCGGGGAGUGUUAUAGCCUGUGGUGCCAUGCAACCAGCUCAGACCGAGGACCGCGCCUUCUUUGUGGGGCUAGGAUGCUGGCGUAAUGGUCGUAAGCGACCCGUCUUGAAACACGGACCAAGGAGUCUAACAUCUAUGCGAGUGUUUGGGUGUCAAACCCAUGCGCGUAAUGAAAGUGAACGGAGGUGGGAACCCUUAAGGGUGCACCAUCGACCGAUCCUGAUGUCUUCGGAUGGAUUUGAGUAAGAGCAUAGCUGUUGGGACCCGAAAGAUGGUGAACUAUGCCUGAAUAGGGUGAAGCCAGAGGAAACUCUGGUGGAGGCUCGCAGCGGUUCUGACGUGCAAAUCGAUCGUCAAAUUUGGGUAUAGGGGCGAAAGACUAAUCGAACCAUCUAGUAGCUGGUUCCUGC
rnacentral:misc_RNA from 1 species